rnacentral:lncRNA from 1 species
CACAAAGAGAAGCUUUAAAAAUCUUGCCUUCUGCCCCCUCAAUUUCUUCUCCCUUCCUUCUCUAUUUCCCACUGGUUUAGCGUGCCUGUCUCUCCCAUUUUACCCUGCUUCAAUCUCCUCCCAGUUGCUUCUGCUAGAGUUGCCUUUUGUCCUCUCACAUCCCUAGGUCAUCCUUGUUAGGGCUCUCCUGGCCUGGUUCCUUGUCCGCUUGAAUUCCAGGGAGUGUUACAAGGUUUGGAGGUUUUUGCUUUACACAUGGACCCAGAAGGAGCUGCAGCCUACAGGCCUCUCCCAAGAAGGCCUUUUCUCUGCCUGACUUUGGACUUCUCCCCAAGGUCAGGACAGUGUCCAGAUGGCCCUGCUGCAGAAUCUUUGCCUCCACUUCCUUCAUCAAGAGGCUGUAGGUACAUCUUGAGUUCAUCUUGUGUCCUUCUGAAGCAUUGCAGAGGGCAGCGGCUGCCUGGCAUGGCACCGGUCCUGGGCAUCACCCAUGGGCCACCAGUGUUUUAGGGAGUGGAGAGCCUGGCUUGGGCAAGGACCUCAG